CAUCCCACCUACUCUCUAUGAACGCCACAGCUACAGUCAGAAAGUCAACUUUCAGCUGCUUUUUCCUUACAUCAAAUCACGACAACCGUAGGAAAAUAUUGAUUUCGUAACCAUUCCCCUAUAUGGAUAAGUAAUUGUACUGCUUUCGAGCACAAAGUGUAUUUUUCAUCUACAACGAAACAGGGAUUUCAACGUUAAAAAGGAAUUUGCUGCAGACGGUUGGUAAAACGUUAUUCAGUCGUGCGGUUCAAAUGUCAGAGGAAUUUCUGUGUGAGAAAGUCCCUGCGCGGAUCAACAACCGCAAGAUUCUUGGCCUGUCCAUGAUAGAGUCUGGGAGUGAGUUUGGCCGCUGGAACAGCCCAUGGAAACGUUCUUAUUAAAUGUGGCGAGGCGGAGAAGGGGAGUCGUCGAGAGUUCACCCAGAGCUCUGCCAUUAACUUCCUCAGGCCGUUCAGGAACUUUCUAGAAGGAGACUUCAAAACCAUCCUGGUGAGAAUCAACGAGAAGAUCCGGUCUUCCUCCUGAACGACACAUCGCACCACAUGGUCCCUUCAUCGGGUCCAGGAACAUGCUUUGUUAGAUUGCUAACAGGGAUUAGGGAAAGUAUGUUUUAACAGAGAUGAUUGUAAUGAAGAUAUGAUUGGCAUACAGAAUUGAGUGAGGCUUGUCCCUUCACUGUAGCUUCUCUGGUCUUGUAAACCUAACAUCGUUGGCCAGGCUGACCCAAAGUGUUGUCGUGACGUUGUAUUGAUUAAUGUGACGACUGCUGUUCAUCGAAUGGUUAACUGUUUAUAAUUACGUGAUUAAAUGAAUCAGGUAAUUAGUAACCUGGGGCACCAUGGGAAA